UACAGGGGGGGCAAGCGUUGUUCGGAAUUACUGGGCGUAAAGGGUUCGUAGGUGGCCACUUAAGUCAGACGUGAAAUCCCUCAGCUUAACUGGGGAACUGCGUCUGAUACUGAGUGGCUUGAGUGCAGGAGAGGAAUGCGGAAUUCCAGGUGUAGCGGUGAAAUGCGUAGAUAUCAGGAGGAACACCGGUGGCGAAGGCGGGUCUCUGGGCCGAUACUGACGCUGAGGAGCGAAAGCGUGGGGAGCGAACAGG
rnacentral:rRNA from 1 species